rnacentral:rRNA from 1 species
CAGCAGCCGCGGUAAUACGAAGGGUGCAAGCGUUAUCCGGAUUCACUGGGUUUAAAGGGUGCGUAGGCGGGUAUGUAAGUCAGUGGUGAAAUCUCGGAGCUUAACUCCGAAACUGCCAUUGAUACUAUAUAUCUUGAUUAUUGUGGAGGUUUGCGGAAUAUGUCAUGUAGCGGUGAAAUGCUUAGAUAUGACAUAGAACACCUAUUGCGAAGGCAGCAGGCUACACAUAUAUUGACGCUGAGGCACGAAAGCGUGGGGAUCAAACAGGAUUAGAUACCCUGGUAGUCCACGCCCUAAACGAUGGAUACUCGACAUACGCGAUACACUGCGUGUGUCUGAGCGAAAGCAUUAAGUAUCCCACCUGGGAAGUACGACCGCAAGGUUGAAACUUAAAGGAAUUGGCGG